GAUGAACGCUGGCGGCGUGCCUAAUACAUGCAAGUCGAGCGAACAGACGAGAGUGCUUGCACUCUCUGCCGUUAGCGGCGGACGGGUGAGUAACACGUGGGUAACCUACCUAUAAGACUGGGAUAACUUCGGGAAACCGGAGCUAAUACCGGAUAAUAUUUAGCUUCGCAUGACGCAAUAGUGAAAGACGGUUCUGCUGUCACUUAUAGAUGGACCCGCGGUGUAUUAGCUAGUUGGUGAGGUAACGGCUCACCAAGGCAACGAUACAUAGCCGACCUGAGAGAGGGAGAGGCGACACUGGGACUGAGACACGGCCCAGACUCCUACGGGAGGCAGCAGUAGGGAAUCUUCCGCAAUGGACGAAAGUCUGACGGAGCAAUGCCGCGUGAGUGAAGAAGGUCUUCGGAUCGUAAAACUCUGUUGUAAGGGAAGAACAAGUACGUUAGUAACUGAACGUACCUUGACGGUACCUAACCAGAAAGCCAGGGCUAACUACGUG
rnacentral:rRNA from 1 species